UUACAGCCAUAUCACGUUGAAUCACCUGUUCUCGGACGAUCACCGAAGUUAAGCAACGUCGAGCCUGAUCAGUACAUAGAUGGGUAACCGCUUCGACAUACCAGGUGCUGUAA